UACAGGGGGGGCAAGCGUUGUUCGGAAUUACUGGGCGUAAAGGGUUCGUAGGUGGCCACUUAAGUCAGACGUGAAAUCCCUCAGCUUAACUGGGGAACUGCGUCUGAUACUGAGUGGCUUGAGUGCAGGAGAGGAAUGCGGAAUUCCAGGUGUAGCGGUGAAAUGCGUAGAUAUCUGGAGGAACACCGGUGGCGAAGGCGGCAUUCUGGACUGUAACUGACGCUGAGGAGCGAAAGCGUGGGGAGCGAACAGG
rnacentral:rRNA from 1 species